rnacentral:rRNA from 1 species
UACGUAGGGGGCAAGCGUUGUCCGGAUUUAUUGGGCGUAAAGAGCGUGUAGGCGGCUUUACAGGUCCGUUGUGAAAACUCGAGGCUCAACCUCGAGACGCCGGUGGAAACCGUAAAGCUAGAGUCCGGAAGAGGAGGGUGGAAUUCCUGGUGUAGCGGUGAAAUGCGCAGAUAUCAGGAGGAACACCCGUGGCGAAAGCGGCUCUCUGGGACGGUACUGACGCUGAGACGCGAAAGCGUGGGGAGCAAACAGG